rnacentral:misc_RNA from 1 species
UCCGGUUUGUCACCGGCAGUCUCAUUAGAGUGCCCUUGCGUAGCAACUAAUGAUAAGGGUUGCGCUCGUUGCGGGACUUAACCCAACAUCUCACGACACGAGCUGACGACAGCCAUGCAGCACCUGUGUUCAGGUUCUCUUUCGAGCACGAAGCCAUCUCUGGCAACUUCCUGACAUGUCAAGGGUAGGUAAGGUGGGGAUGACGUUUAGGAGCUCGAC